AGACUCAACCAGGAGCCCUAGCUGACUCAGUCACAUGGUCACCUCUGGGCUGCCCUCCCUGGACCACCCACAUCUGUCCUGAUGGCCAAGUCUCCUCCCACUCACACUGGGGAGCCCUGAGAAGCCCCAGAGGAGCAGUUGUAUUUCAUCCAACCCCUGGCAACAGGCUGAUCAAGUCGAAUGUAGACAUGCUCCCUGCUUCCCAGACUCAGCCCCAAGGACCACAAGUGAACACUCAAAAAAUGCAGGCGCAUACUCUCAGGAAAAAAGCCUGAAGGCUCAACCUGGUCUGCGAGGCACUCUGUGCUCUGGUCUCCCCUGCUGACCCAUGCAGACCACGCUGGUGUUCCUUGAACACACCCUACACCAGAAGCACUGUCCAAAAAGAUGACUGGAUGUCAACUCAAGUGUCACCUGCUCCCUGAGCCUCCCUCCUAGAACCAUCCUGGGUAACACAGUCCCGUCUCUCUCACGUGACCCUGCUUUACUUUCUUCAAAGCAUCUCUAAGUACAGGUACACCUCAAAGAUUCUGUGCUUCAGUUCCAGCCCACCAAAAUACAUAAAGCGAGUUGCGUAACUUUU